rnacentral:lncRNA from 1 species
GUAAAAAACUAAAUUUACAUUUAUAAAAAUAUUAUUUAAUUAUACAUGUUUUAUCUUUUUAUGGAACUGAUUUGUAACAAAUAUGUAUUCAUAAACAUCAAGUGUUCAUUAAUCAUUAUAAAGUGAUAGUUCAUGUACGAUCCUUGAGGUCAAGUAACGUCAAUGGCGGCUGACAAUUAGAUGGGUGAUUGUUUUUCCAAUUGUAAAAGUUAAGCAAUGUUAUAAAUAAGGUGUAACUAUUAUAGGAUUUAGGUGAUUGCGGUAUGUAGUACACCAUUGUGGUGGAAGAUUUUUGCAAUGUGGAUGCAAGUACUGAACGGCACUUGUAUCCAAAAGAUUUUCUAAAAUAUUUUUGUUUCUAAUAUUUUAUAUAGAUAUGUUUCAGAAAUAUUGUUGAAAUCUUUCAGCAAGGUCGCAUUUUGUUUGAAAUAGUGGAUAUUGAAACAUUACAGAAAUGUUGUAGAAAUGCAAAAUUUCUGUGAUAUUAUUGUAAAAGUAAUAUUUCAAAUAAAAUGUUUUAGAAAUAUUUACAUGUCAUGUUACAUGUCAAGUGAGAUUGGAGAAAGGAAGAAAAAUGAGGAAAGAAUAGUAGAUUUUAGGCAGGUUUAAGUAUGUUUGUUUGUAUUGGGUUAUAUUAUGUUUAAUUAGGAUAGGUAAAAUUAGGUAAGAUUAGUAAAGUUAUCAAAUAUACAAAAAAGAUAAGAAUAAUAAGAAUUAGUGAUGAUGUAGUCCGAAGUGUCGACUUGACCCCAAAGUCUCCCCGCUGUGGGUCCAGUAGUUUCGGAGUUACGCCUUGAAGUAACUCCUUGUCAAAAACAAAAGUUACAAGGUUGCAGUUUGGAAGAUACAGGGCAAUCUGAUGCAGAAAACGGCCAGGAAAAAUUUGGAAAUGGGCUGAAUUGGUUCUGUGUCUUUUAGACUCUAAAUCAGGAUUGAAAAGAACUCUAAAGUUUAGAGUAUCCCUAGUGCGUCCUGACACCCGCAUCCCUUUUCAAUCCUGAUUCGCCACGUCUUCGUUCUAACAGUGGAGACAGUUUUGCAUCGCGUCUGUUUAUCCGAGGAUAACUCUGUCACGCUUGGUUUUAAAACCGUUAAAUGUCGAAGGUCUUAUCCUUCUAUGAUCUUUACCACCCCGUGAGUGUGGAUUGAACAACCACCCCUAACACCUUUUAUAAUCAGCCAGUCGCAGUUACGCCAAGCUAUAGGUGAUCGCUUCAAGGCACGACUUGCAUUCGAGACUAAAAGAUCCUUGUUCGAACACAAAGAGGCGAUGAAAACAAGAUGGCUGAAGAAAGAACAAGGAUUUUUUUGGUUUCAAAUGCAAGUCGUGCCCUGAAGCGAUCACCUGUAACCUGGCGCAAUUGCGACUUGUUGUCCGAUUAAAGAAGUAGCAGGGAAUUACUUCGAAGGGCAUAAAUUCAAAACUACUGGACCCACAGCGGGGAGACUUUGCAGAAGUCAAGUUGACAAUUCGGACUACGUCAUAUAAAAAAGUCAGAUUUUUAGCUCAACUUUUACAAACUUGGCGCUAUUUCAAACUUUUGUUUCUUUAAUCUUGUCCAGUAGUUUAUCUUAAGUUUUUAUUCAAAUUUUAUCAAAUAUUUUGAAAUUUAAAUUUUUAAUACUUUUCUAUUAUUCCAUUUUGGAAAUAUUUGAUUUAGAUUUACCACAUCCAAAAAUAUAAGAAAACAUGCAUUUAAAAAGGUUUUAUCAUUGGGAUGAUAGAAAAUUCUAUUAUUUUACCCAUCCUCCUUUUAAAUCUUAUAAUUUCCACAUUUUUAUCCAGACUUUUAAAAAUAGUAUUAUUACAUAGUUUUAUAAAUUCAAACUCUAUUAAUAGUGAACUUUUCAAAUUCGCAAGAUUCCUAAAUUUUAACUCUAGGCCGCAAUUGAAUUCACGUUGAAAACGUUAUUGGCAUUAUUCUAUCCUUGUUUACUAAUUGCAAGAUAGAACGAUAAAAAUGGAAUGAUACCAAUAACGCUUUCAACAUGAAUCGAACCACAGCCCUCAUAUUCAUACUUAAGAUACAAUAUCCUUAAACUGUCAUGAUUUUGGUCAACAAUUUUGAUUAAAAAUCACAAUUUCUAUACUAUUAUAAUUUCUUAAAAAAUAAUAACUCUAAUUUGGUGGAUUUAACCUAACUGGCAAUUUUUAUUAUGGGUAUCGAUUAAAUUGUUGAGUACAAUGUUUCGACCUCGAUUAGGUCCUUUUUAAGUACAAAUUGAUAAAAAUUUUCAAAGAAACAUUGUAGUCAAUGCACUUGUCGCCGCAAGUCAUGGAUUAUACACUAGGUAAAUGGAUAAACAAUUGAAUAAUAAACGAAUAAUUGAAUAAAAUAUAAUAGAUUUGAAACUAAGUAAAGAACAAUUAAAAAUACACAUGUUUCGUACAUCGGAUGUUAACAAGUCAAAAUACAAAAAACAACAUGUGAAAAUUUGAAUCAAUAUAAAUUACAAAUGUAAAAAAAACGAAUAUGGUGAGUCAUUAUAUAAAAUACAACGUAUAAGAAUUGGAGUCAAUAUAAAUUAAAAGUGUAAAAAAAAGGGAAAAAUAUAUUGAUAGGUUUGCACAGUUCUGGAUACAAAAAGAGACUGAGAUGUAGCGGACGCGUGAAGGGUAAAUAGACCAAGAAUGAUUAUACAGAUUUUAUAAUGUUAUUGUAUAUGGGAUUCAAGUUUUCUGUAUUUUUUUGUAAGUUAAGAUCAUUAGUAUUCUGUUUAAUGAAAAACAUUUCCGCUAUUUUACGUUUUUUUUGUAUGUUUCUCGUUAUAUAAGAUCUUUGAAGAAGACCAAUUAAAUUGA